CUGGCGGGGUGCCCUGCAGGUGGAGGUCCCCGAGAGGAGGUCCCAUGUUUGGGGCCGGCGGGUGUGGCGUGUAAGACUGUGCCGGCUUCCAGAGCGCUGGGACUGCGGGCGUGCACCCCCAUGCCUAGCCAUCAUGGUUUUUUGUACCAUGGAGGCUGAAGGAUGAGAAAUGCCAUUUCCAGGUGCUUAUGCAGCUAGAAUGUCCACUUCACCUGACUUCUGUCAAGAAGAUACAGACAAACCUGCAGGGGAAGCUAGGGUCUGGAUGAGAUGUAUUUCCUGCCAAUGAGACCACUCACAUGGGACAUGCUAGC